rnacentral:rRNA from 1 species
AUUGAACGCUGGCGGCAGGCCUAACACAUGCAAGUCGAGCGGAUGAAGGGAGCUUGCUCCUGGAUUCAGCGGCGGACGGGUGAGUAAUGCCUAGGAAUCUGCCUGGUAGUGGGGGAUAACGUCCGGAAACGGGCGCUAAUACCGCAUACGUCCUGAGGGAGAAAGUGGGGGAUCUUCGGACCUCACGCUAUCAGAUGAGCCUAGGUCGGAUUAGCUAGUUGGUGGGGUAAAGGCCUACCAAGGCGACGAUCCGUAACUGGUCUGAGAGGAUGAUCAGUCACACUGGAACUGAGACACGGUCCAGACUCAGACGGGAGGCAGCAGGGGGGAAUAUUGGACAAUGGGCGAAAGCCUGAUCCAGCCAUGCCGCGUGUGUGAAGAAGGUCUGCGGAUUGUAAAGCACUUUAAGUUGGGAGGAAGGGCAGUAAGUUAAUACCUUGCUGUUUUGACGUUACCAACAGAAUAAGCACCGGCGAACUUCGU